rnacentral:rRNA from 1 species
GUGUCAGCCGCCGCGGUAAUACAGAGGUCCCAAGCGUUGUUCGGAUUCACUGGGCGUAAAGGGUGCGCAGGUGGGUUUGCAAGUUUGAUGUGAAAGCCCCGGGCUUAACCCGGGAAUGGCAUUGAAUACUGCAGAUCUGGAGGAUUGGAGGGGGGACUGGAAUUCUUGGUGUAGCAGUGAAAUGCGUAGAUAUCAAGAGGAACACCAGUGGCGAAGGCGAGUCCCUGGACAAUUCCUGACACUGAGGCACGAAAGCUAGGGGAGCAAACAGGAUUAGAAACCCCUGUAGUCC